UCCCACCACUGCCUUUGAGAGGAGGGGGUAUAAAUCCAACCUCUUCUUCUUAAUGAGUGCUAAAUCUCAAGCUUCUCUCCCCCCCUGCCCCGCCCUCCAAUGGCUUGAAUAAAAAAUGUAUGUUUUUCAUUCAUUGCCCUGAAUCCAGAGCACUGAAUGGGAGAUGAAGAGAGGCUGCAUUCCCACCUCCUGCCUAUCAGGAAAAGGAUAAAGGGUCUUAACAUGCCUUCCCAAAGACUUCUGCCUUUUUCUGCCUAAAGGGUCACAUAUUCCAGAAGAGGAAGUUUAUGAGAGAAUUUUGAAAUGCCCCGUUAUUCUUUUUCAGUUUUAUUUGUUUUCCUUGGGGUUUAAGAAUACCCAAAUAUAUGAUUCUCUUACAAGGAUUGACCACCAGGUGGCACUCAUAGCCCAAUAACAGUCUCUCUAUGUACUGAUUGGUCUAUUGAAUUUAAUUGCGGGUUUGGAGCCUUGGGAGACAACUGAUUUGCUUCCAAAAAUACCAGGUCAUGAGCCUGAUCUGCAGCUCUCUUUUCUCAGGAGACUGAAACGAGACUUCACACGAUGAUCUGAACGAUUAGAACAUGCUGCUCCCAUUAAAGGCUAAGCUUCAAGAUGGCGACCAAAUGGCAGCACCUCCCACGGUUUUGGGCUAUUUCUUUUUAUUAGGUUAUUUAUUCUCAUUUUUUGAGAAAUAGCUGAACACUUUAUCUUAACUUGGCCCUGUAGAGGAGAUAAAUAUUUUGAAUCCUGAUCUGGCAAGCUGCGUGAUUUAGGUGUCUUCAAAGGCCGUCUCUCCCACAGCCUUUCAGCGUAUGAGAAUGAUGAGAAUUUUGCUGCUUCAAGGGCCCUCAUUUUUGUAUGAGGUGUAUUCCUUCAAUAACAAUAAAACUGUCUACACAUCUGCUUGA